rnacentral:lncRNA from 1 species
UUUCGACAAUGGCGGAAGAGACUAAAAACCCUGCUCGUGAUAUCCCUAUUGGUCUUGUUGGCUCGAUGGUAAUAACAACAACUGCAUACUGUUUGCUUGCUGUGGCAUUGUGCCUAAUGCAACCUUUCACGCAGAUUGAUAAGGAUGCCCCAUUUUCAGUAGCAUUUGAAGCUGUAGGGAUGUCAUGGGCUAAGUACAUUGUUGCUGCAGGUGCGUUGAAAGGCAUGACGACUGUUUUGCUAGUCAGUGCCGUUGGUCAAGCACGAUAUCUCACACAUAUUGCACGAACCCACAUGAUGCCACCAUGGCUAGCUCAAGUCCAUCCAAAGACUGGGACACCAAUUAAUGCUACCAUUGUCAUGCUUGCUGCAACAGCAAUUAUCGGCUUCUUUACAGAUCUUGGGAUUCUUGCCGAUCUUCUAUCCAUAUCAACAUUAUUCAUCUUCAUGCUUGUGGCUCUUGCGCUUCUUGUUCGGCGUUACUAUGUCAGUGGUGAGACAACUACAGCAGACCGUAACAAACUAAUCGCUUGCAUUGUGCUUAUUCUUGCGUCUUCAAUUGCAACAGCAGCUUAUUGGGGUCUAAGUGACAACAAUGAUUGGAUCGCUUAUGUGAUCACAGUGCCAAUUUGGUUCUUAGCUACUCUGGCACUGCAUGUUUUUGUUCCACAGGCUAGGAGUCCAAAACUAUGGGGUGUACCAUUGGUACCAUGGUUACCAUCGGCUUCCAUUACUAUUAACAUUUUCCUGCUGGGAUCAAUUGAUGGGGCAUCCUUUAUAAGGUUUGGUAUAUGGACUGUUGUGCUGCUGUUGUACUAUUUCUUCUUUGGAUUACAUGCAUCUUACGAUACAGGCAAGGGAAUCAGGAGAAAAUAAAAUCGGAGAAGGCUGGAAGAAAGUUGAAGAAGGUGUUGUAUCUUCAGAGGCCAAGUGAUCUGCGAUGGAACACUUACAAACGGUGGCAAACUACCAAUUCUUCUACAAAUUCUAGUGGGUAAGCGUGUUUGUUUAUUGUUGUGAAUUGUGAUCAAUGUGUGUGUGGUAGGAAAUCUUGUUCUAUUGUCAAGUAGCAUUUCUUCCACAAAUCGUAGAGGAGAAUGUUUGUUUUAUAUAGGAAGUAUAAAAAUUCUCUCCUCAGGUUGUCACAGGUUCCUAUUUCGGUGAAAGGGUGUGAAUAUCUAUGAUGACGGUUGUCUGUUUGAACUUUGCACAUUUUAAUCAAACAUGCUUUCCACACUCGUAAGCAACAUUUGGUGCAUAUGAUUAUUGAUAAAAUUAACCCGUGAAGUAACUGUUAAGAGUAAUUUUUUUAAUCUCACAAUUACAUUGACAAUGAAUAAUUAAUUAACCUGCAGCCAACUGAUCUGCAAUAAAGCUACCUGCUUGGAUCUGUUUUCAUUUCUCAAUCAAAUUGUUUAUUGGAUGAUUAUAGGCCUACUCCUCGUUGAAAACCCUGCGAUAGUUUGGAUUCUCCUGGGAAUUCUGCAGGCAAAUAGGUCGUCGGUGAAGUUAAUUAUCAACAGGUGAAUUAUUUAUGAGCCACCGUUAAUUAAUGUUGCGUGUUAUUGACCAGAUGCGGCGGCGGCGGUGGCAUAACACCGCUAUCAAAAGAAAUGACUUGGGUCUUGUUAUAUCAAUUAAUAACCGAUGGGAUUGGAAUUUUUCUAUGAAAUUCGAUAAUUGAUCAUAUAUAGAAGGCAGUUAUUGAACAUACUAAUAAUUUUCAAAGAUUUCAAAACUGUAAUUUUUCUGAAUUUUUUGUGAUAUAUAUAUAUAUAUAUAUAUCAGAUAAAACUCUAUGAAUUGGCAAUUACGUUUCCAUCUUGGAUUGAUCGAUGCGUUAAUGGGUCAUUAAUAAGCUUUUUUUUUUUUUUUUAUGCAUACUAUGUGACCAAUGUUUCAAACGGAACGUGGUAUGUAUAUAUUCUUUUAUUUAAGGCUGGUAUUUAUUAUUCCUCCAUAGCUUGAAUGUGCUUUUUGUCUUCAUUUUGCUUAAUUAUUCAAGCCAAUAAAUAAAAAAUUAGCAAAAUUUAUUGAAUGCUAAACAGCUUUAUGGCAAGGAAUUUCUCUAUUAUUCUUCUCAUGAUUUAUGAUUAUAUAAGUAAUAUAAAGAAAUUCGUUUUCUCUCUACUGUACAAAUUCAUUGAAGUUUUGAAUGAUUAUUAGUUUCCUCUUCAUUGAACCCGGCCUUGCCUUGAUUUUGGGCUCCAGGUAAAGACGAAACCAAACCCAAUCUUUAAUGUCCCUUGAGCCUUGAGGCAACCUAUGGGCCUAGUACAUACAAACCCAUUCUCAUAACAGAUUAUGGAACUGAUAUUUCAUAUGCGCUUUGACGACGAUGUCCGUUGCUUGGACGUUUUAUUUCCUCGAUACUGAUAUAUUUUACCUAUUUCAGGGUACUAAUGGCGGUUGAAAAUGAUAAUGGGCUUAAGAAGAGGGGAUGUGGUUGCACCAAACAAGAUUUCUUACCACAACAGUCAUUUCAUAGUUGGACAAGCUAUGUCUUUGUGUAACACAAAAUCUUUGCUUUAAGACCGCCUACUGGCACGUUCCUUGGACCAACGUAGAGCAAAAUGAAAGACGUGCUCAUAGCCAGCAUGAAAUGAAGAAAACUCUGAAUUGGUAGGACAUGACUUGCUUUGGCACGGGAGCUGUAAUGGGUGCUUGCUUGCUGUAAUAUUUGCCCUUAGUGGUGAAGCCGCCAGGAAUUAUUCAGUUCAACUGCACUGCCCCCAGUUUUGUGCUGUACUGAAAUCCUUUCGAAAGUGGCAUGCAUGUAUUCGGAAUCCAUAAGGGUUUUCCAAGCAAUGUUGUUGGAAGAGGCUUUAGAACCCAAGGAAGUUUUUUUGGUGCUGUAUCAUGAUAAUCAUGGCCUCUUUAACAUGUUAAAACUUUGAUCCUUCCUCGAAUAGGCCGUAACGCCAACCACUUUUCAUCUACAUCAGAAGCUUACGUACAAGAGAAAAAUGAUCAAAGUAAGACAAACAAAAAUAAAUUUCCCGCGUUCAACUAGAAAAAGAGCUCUUACUUUCCCUUUUUCCCCUUCCUUCUUCUUCAACUCACACUGUCAUCGGCGGCCACCGGUAAAAAAUCUCCGGCAAUCUGAUAAUUCCUAGUUCAUACGAAGGUUACUUUCUCUCUCGAUUAUUGUGCAAUUAACAUUUUGUUUUGUUGUUUAAAUACAUAUAUAUAGGUGUUAACUUGGAAUACUUGGCUGGCUUUCUCUGUAGAAAAACAACGUGGAAUCUCUGUUCCUUGUGUUCUUUUGAAAAUUAUUGAUAGUUAUGCUGAUUAGAUUAAUAAAUUAUUUAGUAAAAUUCUCAUGUUGGUUGGGAAAUACAUUUGAUUCUCUGAAGACAUGCGUUGUUUUUAUCGAAUAGACAUGCCACAACAUUUUGUCUCGGUAUCUUUUGCCGACUCUUAGCUUUGACCUUUAUUAACAUCCGAAGUAUUUCACUCUCUCUGUUGACUUUUGUCUUCGAAAACAAAUAUAAACUCUUCUUCUCUGUUUAAAAAUAUCCUGUUUCAUUGAGGUAAAAUGUUUUUUUGUUUCUUUUUCUGUUUGGGUUAUGAGAAAAGGUGAGAAAUUUUAUUAGAAGUUUUGAUUUUUAUUUUGUUUUGGUGGAAAUAUGAUGGGGAUGGACGGUCUAAUCGGAGGCGAAGGAGUAAGGAGAAGAGGAUGUUCAUGCACAAAAGACGAUUUUCUCCCUGAGGAGUCGUUUAAGAGCUGGGGCAAUUAUGUCCAAGCGCUCACGGAAACUCCACGCCGGUUCAUAGGCCGAGUGCUUACCCGAUCACUCGAAUCAACAGAGCUCCACGAAAUCAAGGCUCGAAGCCAGCAUGAGAUGAAGAAGAACCUCUCAUGGUGGGACCUUAUUUGGUUUGGUAUCGGUGCCGUCAUCGGCGCCGGCAUUUUCGUUCUAACCGGACUCCAAGCCAAAGAAGUCUCUGGCCCCGCCGUGGUUUUGUCCUACGUGGUGUCCGGCAUCUCGGCCAUGCUUUCCGUGUUUUGCUACACUGAGUUCGCUGUUGAAAUUCCCGUUGCAGGUAAAUACUUCACUAAUUAUCAUAUGAAGUUUUUUGAACAGGAAAUUUAUGCUUGAUUAUAAACUUUAGUUUUUGUCAAUAUCUAUCUAAAAUUCCCUUUUUUUUUUGAUAAAUUGUUUAGUUUUUUAUUUUUUCUGUGUAGGCUUUGAAUAAUCUUACUUCAUCAGUAAAAAUGAAAGAGAGUUGUAAAGAAUUUGGCUGAAUAUUCAAUAUCCCAUGAAAUUAUGGGCCCUCUAUUUUGGCAAAUAAUGUAGCAAAAUUUGACUUUUCACUGAGAUGGGAAAAGGUAAUGAUUACCCUUUUGUGUUUACAAGGGAUCGUUUAACAAAUACCAUUUAACCAUUUAACGAAGAUUUCGAUGGGUAGGUUUUUUAUCUGUUGAGCCAAGUUUGAUUUGCUACAUGUAAAAGAAUAGAGGAUUUUGUUCAUGGAAAUACACACAUUGCAGAUGUGUCGAUGUUAAUAAUGCAAAAUUUUCAUUUUCAGGUGGCUCGUUUGCCUACCUUAGAGUGGAGUUGGGUGACUUUAUGGCUUUCAUUGCUGCUGGUAACAUUCUCCUGGAGUAUGUUAUUGGAUGUGCUGCGGUGGCCCGGUCGUGGACUUCCUACUUCGCCGUCCUCUGUAAUCACCAACCUGAAGAUUUCCGCAUCGUAGUCCACAGCAUGCCCGAGGACUAUCGCCAACUUGAUCCUAUUGCCGUUGUUGUUGUGUCCAUCAGCGGUAUCCUUGCUAUCCUUAGCACCAAGGGCUCGUCGCGCUUCAAUUACAUUGCUUCCAUCUUUCAUGUUACUGUUAUUAUCUUUAUAAUCGUUGCUGGGUUUUCAAAAGCGGAUACCAAAAACUACAGCGAUUUUAUGCCCUUUGGUGUCCGUGGCAUUUUCAAGUCUUCGGCUGUGCUUUUCUUUGCAUAUGUUGGUUUUGAUGCUGUUUCAACAAUGGCGGAAGAGACUAAAAACCCUGCUCGCGAUAUCCCUAUUGGUCUUGUUGGCUCGAUGAUAAUAAUAACAGCUUUAUAUUGUUUGCUUGCUGUGGCAUUGUGCCUAAUGCAACCUUUCCGGCAGAUUGAUAAGGAUGCCCCAUUUUCAGUAGCAUUUGAAGCUGUAGGGAUGUCAUGGGCUAAGUACAUUGUCGCUGCUGGUGCGUUGGAAGGCAUGACAACUGCUUUGCUAGUCGG